CCUACGGGUGGCAGCAGUGAGGAAUAUUGGUCAAUGGACGCAAGUCUGAACCAGCCAUGCCGCGUGCAGGAAGACGGCUCUAUGAGUUGUAAACUGCUUUUGUACGAGGGUAAACCCAGAUACGCGUAUCUGUCUGAACGUAUCCUACGAAUAAGGAUCGGCUAACUCCGUGCCAGCAGCCGCGGUAAUACGGAGGAUUCAAGCGUUAUCCGGAUUUAUUGGGUUUAAAGGGUGCGUAGGCGGUCGGAUAAGUCAGAGGUGAAAUCCCGGGGCUCAACUCCGGAAUUGCCUCUGAUACUGUUGGGCUAGAGAGUAGAUGCGGUAGGCGGAAUGUAUGGUGUAGCGGUGAAAUGCUUAGAGAUCAUACAGAACACCGAUUGCGAAGGCAGAUUACCAAGCUAUAUCUGACGUUGAGGCACGAAAGCGUGGGGAGCAAACAGGAUUAGAUACCCGAGUAGUC
rnacentral:rRNA from 1 species